GGAGUGACUUUUCUCUGGCCACUUGUGAUGUCCCUGGAUCACUCUCUGUUCUGCUUUUAUUUCAAAGUGAGCAAGGCAACUGAAUUUUGGAAUAUGUUGGCACUUACUGCUCUGCUGGGAAUGUUAUGUGGGAGAAAUUCUGGAAGAAGGCAAAGUACUGCUCUCCUUUACCUGUCUCCUUCCAAUUAAACCUCCAUGGAUUUAUGUCUUAAUAAAAUGGUUAUGAGCACACACUGACAGCUGAAAGACAUUGCUUUCUGGCUUUGCAUUCCUCCUGAAGUCUGUCACAUCGGAGAUGCGGAAGGAGGGAAGUGCAAGAUCUGGCUCUACAACUCCUAGUCAUAUGGAAAUGCUGCUUAGAGUAUCUUCGUAUGGAACUUAGAAGAGCUUCCCCUCCCUUAGAGGCA